AAAAUGUAUUUUCAUAAACAGGGGAAGGACGCAGGCUCACGCUGCGAAAACAGCUGUGAAAACUGCCCGUGUUUCGGGGUCUGACUUUCUCAGCUUCAACUUAAUUCUCCGCGGAAUAUUUAAACAGGGAAACGUGACCGUGAGUGGAAAUAUAUUGAAGUUUGAUUAAGAAAAGAUGCCCUUGGAUCUAUUCUCAGUCAGCUGAAGGACAGAGCUGCAUAGCUCAUCAUGCCAAGCUGAUGUAUUUAUGGUCCAAAGAGCUCUCCUCACCCCCAUACUUCAGGCUUACAGUGGAAUCCAACGAGCAAGAUCAAGUGGUCCUCCCAUGCAAGAAGAUGCUGGCAGGGCAGAAGACCAUCCUGGCUGAACAGGGAGCUUCUACUGGAGCUCAGGAGGAAAAAUACAAUUUACAGUCUUUGGAAGAAAGGUCAGGCAGCCCAGGAGAACUACAGGAGUGUUGGGAGGUCACAUAGGGAGUAAAUUAGAAGAGCCAAGACUCAACUUGAACUUAAGUUCACUACUACUGUAAAAGACAAAAAGAAAAGCUUCUAAAAAUAAAUUAGCAACAAAAGGAGGGCUAAAGGGAAUCUUCACCCUUUAAUGGAUGAAGAGGGAAACCUAGUGAGCAAGGGUGAGGUACUUAAUGCCUUCUUGCCUCAGUUUUCAAUAGUAAAAACAGCUCUCCUCUGGGCAUCAGUCCACCUGAGUCAGAAGACAUGGGAACAGAAUGAAGCCCCCUUAGUACAAGGGAAAGUGAUGUGCUACCUGCUGCUCCACCUCAACACACACAAGUUGUUGGGGCCGGAUAGAAUCCACUCAAGGGUGCUGAGGGAGCUGGUGGAAGUGCUCACCAAGCCACUCUCCAUCACCUAUCACCAACUCUGGCUCACUGGGGAGGUCCCAGUGGACUGGAGGAUGGCAAAUGUGACACCCAUCUACAAGAAGAGUUACAAGGAAGAUCCUGGGAGCUACAGGCUUGUCAACCUGACCUCAGUGCUAGGGAAGGUUAUGGAACAGAUUAUCCUGAGCACCAUCCUGAAGCACAUACAGGAUAACCAAGGGUUCAGGCCCAGACAUCGAGCCUUUAUGAAAGGCAGGUCCUGUUUGACCAAAUGUGAUCUCCUUCUAUGACAAGAUGAUUUGCUUAGUGGAUGAGGAUGUGGCCUUCCUGGACUUCAGUAAGGCCUCUGACACAGUCUCCCACGGCAUCCUCCUGGAGAAACUGCCCAUGACUUGGAUGGAUCCACUCUGAGAUGGGUAGAAAACUGGCUGGAUGGCUGGGCCCAGAGAGUGGUGGCCAGUCACCAGUGGUGUUCCCGAGGGCUCAGUGCUGGGGCCUGUUCUGUUUAACAUUUUUAUCAAUCAUCUGGAUGAGGGGAUUGAGUGCACCCUCAAUAAGUUUGCUGAUGACACCAAGCUAGGUGGGAGCAUAGAUCUGCUUGAGGCCAGGAAGGCUCUUCAUAGGGACCUGGCCAGGCUGGAUCAAUAAGCUGAGGCCAAUUGCAUGAGGUUCAACAAGGCCAAGUGCUGGGUCCUGCACUUGGGCCACAACAAUCUCAGUCAGUGCUAAAGUCUUGGGGCAGAGUGGCUGGAAAGCAGUCCAGUAUAAAAGGAGCUGGGGGUGUUAAUUGACAGCCAGCCGAACAUGAGCCAGCAGUGUGCCCAGGUGGCCAAGAGGGAGGCUGAGAGGAAAUAUGAUCACUCUCUAUAACUACCUGAAAAGGAGUUGUAGUGAGGUGGGCGCCAAUCUCUUCUCUCCUGUAAGGAAUGAUAGGACAUGAGGAAGUGGGUUCAAGUUGUGCCAGGGAGGUUUAGAUUGGACAUUAGGAAGAACUUUUUUCACCAAGAGGGUUGUUAAGCAUUAGAAUGAACUGCCCAGGGAGGUGGUGGAAUCACCAUCAUCACUAUCUCAAGAGACACUCAAAAGACAGACACAUAGAUGAGGUGUUGAGGGAUGUGGUUUAGUUUAGUGAUGGGCCUGGCAGUGAGGUUAGUGGUUGGACUUGAUCUUAAAGGUCUUUUCCAACUGAAAUGAUUCUAUGACUUCAUAUUAUGCAGGAGAAUUUCCAUGUAGAUUUCCUACUCAUUAUGCGAAGCAAUAAAAUAUUAAUUCUUAUUCUUAUUAUUUUUAAUUUAGUAAUAUUAAAUGAUGUUUAUCAGUACCUAAAUGUACCUCAGCUCAAAGUGUUAUCAAAGGCCUCAUUAACCUCAUCACAUACACUUACAGCUUCUCCCUCUACUUUUAUUUAUGUGCAUACACUAGUAUGCAAUGGCAACUUAUAUUGAUUUUCCUGUGCACUAGAUUUUAAUGACUACAGUUGACAGAAUGAAGAUAUAAUUUAGUCCAUGUGAUAUACAACUGUUGGAGGAUAACUUUAACUUCUUUGCAACAUUUUCUAGAAUAGUUCUCUAUGAAGUGACUCUGUUUUGAAUCACAUUGCCAAAAUAUAAAACUGCGUUCAUAUUUCAGGUGCUGUACACCGAGAACACUUCAGUGUUGGGGUCUCAAGACCAUUUUGGACUGUAGGGUCAUCACUCAUAUUUGCAAAGAGGUGGAGUUCAGGUAUGGACACUGAUAUCACCUAUACCCAAAUUUUGCAUCUACAGAGCCAGCUACCAGGUGCCAGAUUAAAUUUGCAAGUACACAGUGACAGGCAGGCUUUGGUGAUGAGCAAAGAUAAGAAGUAGGUGCAAAAUUUGCAGCAGAUGAACGUGGUCAGCACAGACUUGCUAUGUAGGCAAUUUACUGUCACAGAGCAAUUUGGAAAGAGCUCAAGACACUUUCAAGGGUAUUUCCUAUUACAAGAGAGAAACUGAACAACUCCACAGCUAAACUCUCCAGUGAUCUAUAAAGAAUUAGGUGUUAAGGGGAAAUGAGAAGAGUUCUGUAACUGAUUUUCGGCAGAGAGGAGCCCACAGAUUUGGUAAUAGCAGGCAAAACUGAUUCCUUGGAUCUAGUGCUGCACAGCAAUAUGAAAAGGGUGUAGACAGGAAAAGAUGACAGCAAGACCAAAAGGCAAAACCAGAAAGCAGGAGCUGGCUGCAUGUUUCAGAGAGGGAAAGGAAGGAAAAAAAAAGUAAUGUAAAUUUUCUUUCCAUAGAAGCCCUAUUUUCUACUUGAUUUUUACCCUUUUACCAUAGCCUUUGACAUCAGUGAACUGGGUCUGUUCAUCCCAGCAAUAAUUCUAACCCACACUUUCUAGAUGCCACUAUUUAAAGAGACUUUGGAACUUUGUUAUAUGAUUAUUUGCACAUUUCUAUCUGUUCAUUUGUACAUUCCUACUGAAGUAUUGUGUGACAUUCUGACCGCUACAUCCAUGAUAAAACACCCCUCUGAGCAAGUGUAACAGUCAGCUUUGCUUGCCUGGGCUUUUUGAAAAUUGAAAUGCAGUUCCAAAAGGGGAGCUAACCUGCAUCUGUAUAAAUCAUGAGACUGUUUUAGCAUCCUGCAAACAUGUUUGGAGAGAGCAAAAUUAAACAUUUAAGCAUGCCGAUUAAGGCAUAGGUUCUGCAAAUACUUACUACCAGGCUUAAUCCCUUUGAAAUCACAGGAGGACUACUCACAGUCAGAAAAGCUGUGCCUAUGACUAAACAUUUGCCUCUCGCAGCUCUUGAAAGUGAUUGCAGGCAAUAUUUUCCUUCUAGAUGGACAGUGCUCACUCAUCAGCCAUCCACAACUAUGAAAUGACAUAUAUUAUAAUUGUGAAAAUUAUAUAGCACUGCCCCUAAUAACAGCCUGUAGUUGGUAAUUGGCUCUGUGGUGAGACAAGAAGCGCUUAGUCAUUCCGUGAGAGGUACACAGGAAAUGCCGAGAUGAACUGUCAGACACAUAUUAUUAGUAUUUAUUAAAACACAACUAGUUACACUGGUUGUGCAUAUUCUAUAGGCAGACCCUUUAAAAAAAACGAGUGACAUAAUCUUAGCUGUGCAAUAUAGGCCUUGUUUACAAUAGAAAGUUGUGCUGACCUACCUGUAUUACUACAUUUAAAGCCAUACAUCUCCAGCUUAGGAGGAAUUGUAAAACCAGCUUAUUUUUCCUUUGCAGAAGGAAAAUCAGCAUCAGUGCAAAAUGUUUUUGUACCAGUAUAAGCAUGUGUCAUUUCAAAUAGUGCAAUUAAAUGGGAUAUAAAAAUUCACACAGUUCAGGUAACAUAGUUAAAUAGGUACAUGAUGUAUGAAGAGAUCAGACUCUUUAUUUCACAAAUAAAUGACUCAAUCUCACCCUCUUGCAUGUAAGAAGGAAGAGAGGAGUGAAAAUGCCCAGUGUUUAGGACAGAGCCUUUUACACUUGCUGGUUGUGACCUAACCAGCAUUUGCAACUCAGUGAAAUGCAAUAUGUUCAUUUGGCGGCUGCAUGUAAAAGCAUUUGAAUCAGUCUGAACUGAUUCUUGGAAUAGGAAAGAGAGAGAAUCACUACGGCUGGAGGGAAAAGAGCUGCUCGUACAAGAAAACAGUAAAAAGUCACAGAGGGUUAAAUGUUUCUGCCAGCAUUAAUUUUACUGUCAUCUUCUAGCUUCUCAUCAUGAAAAUUGAAGGAUUUUUCCUUGUUCUUCCAGUCAGAGAGAGUAAUGCAUAUCUGUGAAUAAGAAAUGCACUGUGUUAUGGAGGAAGCUGGUUAAUACUCUCUGGAGAACAUUUUUGUUUUCCAGUGAUCACUGAUGAGUACCAUAGCACUGAUGGACAGACAGCAGGACCAGGCAGUAGAGCUGGCCUUCUGCUUGGGACCCUGCUGUAAACCCUUUGGUAAAUCACCUUCUCUCUCUGCAUCUCACUUUCUUCUUUUACAAAAUGAGAGAAGGUCAAUUUGCAAAGCACUUUGAGAUGCAACAAUGACAAACAAGUGUUGUAUAUUACUUGGGUGGAAUUGUCAUUUGCUAUAACUUCUUUUCUUGUGCAAUAGCCACCACUAAAGACAGAAAUUUCAGCUUUGAUUGCCUGAUAAAAAAUUUACUAAUUUGGGAUCUAAAUCUGAAUUCAGAUUUCAAAUGAAUUUCAAAGCUUCAAAUUAUUGAAUGGGAUUUUUUCAGUUUCAUAUUACAGAAGAUGCACAUUUUCAUACAGAAUACUUCAAUAAAAUACAUUUUGUUCCUAGCUAUUAUCUCAAGUAUCCAAAUGGACACAGUUGAUAAAGGUUCCCUUCAUUAUGUAUUUGUAGUGCAAUUGCUACAAGUAAUUCCAUUAGCUACCAGUAAUUGCAUUAGGCUGAAUCACUGAGUAACCUUGUUUCUGACACCAUAACUAAAUACAUCAUGUGAAGUAGUGGAUGGAAUGCAUCACACACUGCGUGGCUGCUGAGAAAGAUAUAAUGAAAGUUAGGAAAAGAGAAAAUAGGAGAGACAGAUUUGGAGGCCAUCGUUCCUUGCUGUGUCUUACUAGGAAACUUGCUACAAUUAAACUGAAAAAAAGAAGAAAGAAAAAAAGUUUUCAUUUGCAUAAUGACUUGGCAUGUGGCACAUCUUUAUGUAAAGUCUCAAAUCUGGAAAGAAAACUAUUCACAUGUCAAAACAUUUUCAGGAUCAGAAUUGACAUUAUAGAAUAGUUUGGGUUCGAAGGGACCUUUAAAGAUCAUAGAGUCCAGCCUUGCUGCCACUGGCAGGGAUAUCUUCAGCUAGAUCAGAUUGCUCAGAGCCUGACCCUGAGUUUGUCCAGGAAUGGGGCAUCUACCAUCUCUCUGGGUAACUUGUUUCAGUGUUUCACCACCCUCAUCAUAAAGAAUUUCUUCCUUUAUACCUAGCCUGAGUCCACCUUCCUUUAGUUUAAAGCCAACGGGUCCAUAUAUUUCUUCUUCUGAAGACUCCAGAGCUGGAUGUAAUAUUCUAGGUCGGGGCCUCACAAGAGCAGAGGGGCAAAAUCCCUUCCCUUGACCUGCUGGCCACACUUCCUGUGAUGCACCCCAGGAUAUAGUUGGCUUUCUGGGCAAUGUGAGAGCACAUUUCAUCCACCAGUACCCUCAGAUCCUCCCCAGGGUUGCUCUCAAUCCCUUCAUUCCACAGACUGUAAUGAUAGUGGGGGUUGCCCUGAUGCAGGUGCAGGGCAUUGCACUUGGCCUUCUUGAACCUCAUGAGGUGUCUAGGUGUCUCUGGGUGGCAUCUAAUCCUUCAAGCAUGUCAACCAUACCACUCAGCUUGGUGUCAUCUGCAAAUUUGCUAAGGGUGCAUUUGAUCUCACCAUCUAUGUUGCUAAUGAAGAUAUGAAAGAAUACUGGCCACAAUAUGGACUCCUGAGAGACACCGCUCAUCACUGAGCUCCAUCUAGACAUUGGGAUAUUGACCACUAGUCUCUGGAUGCAACCAUCCAGCCAGUUUCUCACCCAGUGAACCAUUUAUCCAUCAAAUCUAUAUCUCUCCAAUUUAGAGAGACGGAUGUUGUGUGAGACUGUGUGAAGGGUCUCACGGAAAUUGAGAUAGAUUACAUCCAUAGCUCUUUCCUUGUCAACUGAUGUAGUCAUUCCAUUCAUAGAAGGUCACUGGGUUAGUCAGGUAGGACUUGCCUUUGGAGGUUGUCAGAUGUUCCUAUAUAUAAGUUCAAUGUAGUGUGUUCUGUCACUGUAAGAUCAUAUUUAGUGUUAGUUUUACUGCCUUAGUUUUGUGAAGGAUCAAAUACAAAUAAACUGGAAGAAAGGAAGCAGAAGAUACAUUUCUAAAGCAUAUGUUUCAAAAAUAUUGUCAAAUUAAUCUGUUUCACAGAUAACAGAAGCAUUCAUAAUGGAUUCACAGAAUCACAGAAUGGUAGGGGUUGGAAGGGACCUUUAGAGAUCGUCUAGUCCAACCCCCCUGCAGAAGCAGGUUCACCUAGAUCAGGUCACAUAGGAAUAUGUCCAAGUGGGUCUUGAAGACCUCCAAGGAAGGAGCCUCCACAACCCCUCUGGGCAGCUUGUUCCACUGCUCCCCUACCUGAACAGUGAAAUAGUUUUGUCUUGUGUUUAAGUGGAACUUUUUGUGUUCCACCUUCAUCCCAUUAGCCCUUGUCCUGUUGCUAGCUACUAUAGAAAAAAGGGAUGUCCCAACCUACUGACACCUACCAUUUAGAUAUUUGUAAAUGUUAAUAAGAUCCCCACUCAGUUUCCUCUUCUCCAGACUAAACAGCCCCAGUUCCCGCAGCCUUUCCUCACAUGAAAGAUGUUCUAGUCCUCUGAUCAUCUUGGUGGCCUAUUUAAAGACACAGUCUUGAACACCAGUGACUCGGGCCCCACUGCUUUUAUCAAUAUCAGUUUUACUGAGCUGUUUGCCAGGAUGUAUGGCAUGAAAUAUAUUAAUAACCUUUGGGAUUUUAAUUUUCUUUUGGACAUCAUUGCAGCAUCUUCUGGUCACUGAAAAUCAUAUUUCCUAGAGAUGGGUUUGAAUCAUAGAAUCAUAGACUCAUAGAAUGGUAAGGGUUGGAAGGGACCUUUAGAGAUCAUCUAGUCCACCGCCCCUUGCAGAAGCAGAUUCACCUAGAUCAGGUCGCAUAGGAACAUGUCCAGGUGGGUCUUGAAGACCUCCAAGGAAGGAGACUCCACAAAAUGAAUGAAUUCUCCAAUUCAAUGACUUCUCAGAUUAAAGAAGUUUAGAGGCAGGCUCUGAUGUACUUCCAUCUCUUAAAAAUUUCCAGUCUGUGUCACUUUGUCUUGUCCCAUGCAGUUAUCCAAAACUCUCGUGCAAAUUCUGAACAUUUUUUAUAAAGCUUUCAUUUUGCCCAGCUUUGUAUGAAAAUAUCCACAACAUGCAUAUAUGGAUGGUAAGAGCAGCUGAGGGUCUUAACAGGUUGUGUUCUUUCUGUUCAACUAGUUGCAAAUUGUAUAUCUUUAUGGCCUUGACUUAGGAAAUCACUUUAACCUGUGAUUAAAUCAAGAUCUGAGCAUACAUUUAAGGCUUAGUCUACACCACAGUGUAUUAAAGAGCAGCUUAACAAUAUGCAUUCCUGAAGGAAUAUUUAUCAUGGUAAACCAGUAUUUCCCUGCUGUCAGGACAUAGUCUGCAGGCAAUCUGCCAAAAGAGAUCUAACAGAUCAUCAGACACUGAAAAAUAUGUUACAACUUAAGUAUUCAACUUUUGUGAGGUCUGAGGUAGUAUGUUUUGUAGCUCCACCCUUUCUGUGCCCUGCAGGUGACUCUUGGCAUUAUCUCCCUGCUCCACAACCCACACUCCCUUAUCAUUCACCUUCAAGAAUUUGGUCACUCUCUUGGAACAUGGAAAUGAUGUUCACUUAUACUGAGAAAUGCAGAGAUACUCCAUUCAGCACUCCUACCUGAAAAAAACCCACUAUCAUUUAUUAGCAUAUACAUGUACAUUUGUGGAUUUCUGCUUUUAUGAACCUGUGCAACAAACUUCGCAAUAUCAGUAUCUUCUUCCCUGGGGGAGCAAAUGAUUUGUGUAUUUUAACCAGGCAUAGAUUCAUCUUCUCUGACAUUUUGCUAAGCUAAAAAGUCAGCUGCAUCAUUGUUAUUCUGUGCUUUCUUUACAAGUCCACAACUGAACUGUCAGCGUGCUGGAGGUGAGAAACUAUUAGAACCUUACAUAUAUGUAUAACUUGUCAAAGUGUGGCAGAGCUUGUAUGGACCCUUCCAGGCAUCGGGGCUUCCAAGGUAUAUUUCCUUCUGGAAAACUAAAUGUACCGCACAUUGUUUAACUAAUGCUUUGUCUUCAGAAGCAGGUUUUCCAAUACAAUACAAUACAAUACAAAUAAUCUCUGUGACUUCAGUGGGCUGACUCCUUUACAUUGUAGUGUACAAAUGGCUUUUUUGAUUGCCUCAUCUCACAUGGAAAAGAGACCAAAAGUGAAAGGAAUGACCCUUAUGCAAGAUGAAAGAAGUAUUCAUAGUUUGAUAUGGUAAAGCUUUCCCAAAGAGAUAACAAAUUAUGAAGAUUUUGUGGUUGUUGUUGGCAUUAUGCUAAUCUCUUACCAAGACAUUUAGCCACUGCAAAUAGUAACUGAUACUGUCUGAAAAUAUGAUACACUACUGGGGGUGUUGUGCAAGCCAAAUACAGCCCACAAAACAAUUCCUUUCAUACCAUCCUUGCCAUCUUGUACAAUCCUGGGGUGAAGAUGAAGGGAAAAGACUAAAUCAGGAGACACACAAAUCUCAUCAGAAGUUACUGCAUUCACAUGAGGGAGUGAUUUGCCAUCGCUUGGCAAGCACAGACUGGCAUAUUUGUCCAAUUGCAUCUCCAGGGUUAAAAAAAUGGAGACUGCAGGUGCAUAAACUUCUGAUAAACCUUCUCAGUGCCUUCCGGGAAUGUGCUGCUGCUGCAAUAGUGUUACCACAAAAGCCCGUUUGUAGAGUUCUGCUGCUGUUGUGUAUUAGUGAGGAAAUGUCCUGGUACAACCUUUCCAUUCAACCUUGGGAGGCCUGAGAGCCUGGUGAGACCAGUGGAAAGACCAAGUUUCUAUUCAAUGGAGCAGCACCAUGCUGUCCACUCUGGCUAUAACGGUGUACUCUUGAGAUGCGAUAGGUCAACUUCCUUAGCUGCCAUAAUGUUUCCAUUGCAAUUAUAUCUAUGUAUCUAUUUAUUGUGAUGUUUUAUCUUGUGGGUUUUAAAUAUGAUGUAUUAAAACACAGUGCAGUGUAAUCCAAAUGCAAUGAGGCAAGUAACUGUAAAAGCCAAAAUCAGGAUAGAGAGAACAAUGUAUUUCAAAUUAAGUGGUAACAAGAUUACUUAUUAGCUGAAAAUAAUGAGCACCUUCAGUGCCUUAUGUGCAUGCAAAUGAUAGGUAUUCCAAAGGAAUAUAAUAUUAGUUGACAUUAAAAAACCUGCCACCAUGAAAAAUAAGAGAAGUUCACUGGAGAACCUAAUCAUUACAGAAUUAAAGGAAAAAUCCCCCAAAAUCAACAUCACAAGCAAAGUAGUAAGCUGGUUUAAUGUGCCACUACAUAAACUCAAAACCUGACUACCCCUGAUGAGAUGUGCCUCAGGUGAACCCCUGGAAUGGGAUGUUGAGCCAGAAAGAGGUGUGCAGUUAAAACAUUCUCUGAAAAAAAAAAUUAACAAAUUGUGGAAGCUUGUUACCAACUCAUGUAACUAUAGAAAGCAGAAUAGCUGAUGCAAAUCAUUACAUGGUCUAAAUUUGAGACCAGUCACAGAAAAAUGUAGGCUUUGGAUGAGACCACAAGGCGCAGUGAGAGCAGGUAGUUGUUAAAUUUCAGUUAAGCUAUUGCUAAGGUUCUAUUUGUAAAAAAAAUAAUAAUAAAUGAGGCAGUACUUCUAACAUACAUUGGAAGCACUUCUUUCUACCACUAGCUCAUGUAACAGUUUUCAAAACUACCUUGUAAUAAAUAAUGACAAGCAGUGACUGUCUAGAAAAGUCAGUUAAUCAGCUUGCUGAAAAGAAGCUGCAGCUGAAUACUUCACCUGCACUGCCCGAUACAUUACCAAGCAUUGGUGGUAAAUCUAGGAAAAAACCAUGUAGCCUAGUAUUGUAUAUAUGGUUAACCUCAUUCACAGAAGAAAUAUUGCACUGACACACAGAAAAUGUAUCAAAUAUCUUAAGAAGCUGAAUCCAAAUGAUAGGAGUUUACCCUCUUGUUCAGAUGUUAGGUGACUGUAAGCAUGGAAGCUGCCUUCUUUACUUUUCCAACUGAGCGUGUCUCAAACAUGAGAGAGCAAAUAACACAUUUCAGUUAUGAGAGCCUAUCUCUGCUCAUUGGUCUUCCUACCAGCUUUAUAAUAGCUCCAGUCUGCAUGGUGCCUAAAAUACGAGAGUUAUUUAGGUCACCUAUUAUCCAUGAAAGAGUUUAAAAUUUAGUAGAGUUUCCAUGUCUGACUGCAAAGUUUUCUGCAAAGACCCCUACACAUACUUAAAAGUAUACCAAACUGAACUCUUAAAGCUGUAACCGAGAAUGAAGUGCCUAAACUCAUCCCCAGAGAACCCAUUUCCACACCUGGUAUCCAUGAAUAGCACUGAAUUUAGCUCAAAAUCCAUUUAGUACUCCCAGCUGACAUUAGCACACUUAUCCUGCCUGUGGAGCAUGCUCUUCCAGAAGACUGCUCUAACCAGCAGAGUGGAGAACAGCUUAGGAUGAGUUCUGUAUCCACCCCCCCCUCCCGCCCUCAAUUCUCAGUAAUACACUCAUGAGGUAGAGGUAGUAUUUACAUUUUGUAUUACAGAGUUGAGUAAGCUGUAUACAUAUAAAUGGAAAUACAGUUUGAAUUCCAAGACUUUUAGACUUUUCUUCUCAAAGCAGUAUCUUCAGCAACAAGAUAAAGGGAGUUUGGGCCUGGCUUUAUAUUCUUCUUGGUUCUCCCUUUCCUUAUUAACAAUAACCUAGUUGCAACAAGAGGACCAGAGUAUGGCCUGUAUCACAGGGCAUUCUAGCAUUUGCUCAUUCCUUUGGAAAAACAGAAUCAGUGCAUUCAGCUUAGUCAAGGCUGAAAAGGUCCCAGAAGAAAUGUUUCUGUCUUCCAAGACAAAUGCACAAAUCAACAGAUAACUAUGCCCAGGGCUAUCACAGCUACAUCCUCCACUGGUACCUGUGUGCUCUGAAGAGUAUUUUGAGCUCUGAAGUUAUGUUUACAAUGGCAUAUAAACCAAGACUGGGUAUGGACUUGAACACAAGACUACAUGAUACUGUUAGCACAGUUGGCCAACAGUAACUUGUGCUGGUUUUAGCCCUGUCUGGGUGUCAGAUGCCCACCAAGUCAUUCUAUCACUUCCCCUCCUAAACUGGACAGGGAAGAAAGAAAUAUAACGAGAGGUUCAUGAGUCAAGAUAAGGACAGAGAGAUUACUCAGUAAUCUCCUCACUUCCUUCCUUCCCCCCCAAUGGCACAGGGGAUGGGGGUGGGGGUUAUGGUCAGUUCAUUACAGAUGGACUUUGUCACUGCUUCUUCUCAGGGGGAGGCCUCCUCACACUUCUCACUGCUACACUGUGGGGUCCUUCCCACAGGAGACAGUCCCUCAUGAACUUCUCGAGUGUGAGUCCUUCCCAUGGGAUACAGUUCCUCACAAACUGCUCCAGCAUGAGGCCUCCCAUGGGGGCAGCUCCUCACACCCUACCCCAACGUGGGUCACUCACUGGGAGAACAGUCCUUUAGGUACCAACUGCUCCAGCCUGAGUCCCUUACAGGAUCACAAGUCCUGACAGCAAACCUGCUCUGGUGUGGGCUCCUCCCUUCACAGGCUCCCAGAUCCUGCCAGGAACCUGCUCCAAUGCAGGCUUCCCACAGAAUUACAGCCUCCUUCAGGCAUUCACCCACUCUGGUGUGGGGUCCUCCGUGGGCUGCAGAGGCACAGUUGCCUCAACAUGAUCUUCACCACAGGUGACAGGGGAAUCUUUCUUUCAGGGCCUAAGCACCUCCUGCCUCUCCUUCUCCUCUGACCUUGGUGUCUGUAGAGAUGUUUUCACAUUCCCACUCCCUGUUGCUGCUGAAGUUUAGCACCUGCGCAGUAACUUCUUCCCCUUCUCAAAUACGUUAUUCAUAGAGGCGUUAUCUCAGAAACUAAUGGCCAGGCCUUGGUCACCUGCGGGUCCAUCUUAGAACUGACUGGUCUUAGCCCUGUCAGCUACAAGGGAAGCUUCUGGCAGCUCUUUGUUUAAAGAAGCCACCCCUGUAGCCCUCUCUGCUACCAAAACCUGGCCCAGGCAAAACUACUACACAACUACCUAACAUCAUCAGGCGACAGCAUAUGCCAAGAACCAUUCCCCAACAGGAAACGUGAAUGCAGCCACAAUGGUUUUGGGGAGUGAGGAGAGAGGGCCACUACUUACUUAUUAAAAUGUCUUGGUGUCCAGAGUUAUUUCUGGCAAAGCCAAACCUGAUGACUCCUCAGUUGAUUUUCAAUAGUGUUUUCCACUGAUUAGCUCUGUGCAGUUCUCCAUUUCAGAAUACAGGAGUCCUGGAUCAGCGGGCAGCCCUAGGCAGAGGGGACAGAGAAGCCACUGCCUCAUACAGGUGCCCUGAAUCUCUUUUUUUACAGGGGCUUACAGUUUUUCACCAACUGUGAAAGAACUGUUGCCAUAAUAUUUUUUGAUACUGCACUACUUCAAUUCCAGAUCUAGAAAUCAGUUUUAUGUACAACAGUGAAUAAUGGAAUUUUCAACUUGUUUCUUAAGGAUAUAAAUUCCUACCUGAAAAACUUUGCAAUAAAGUACUGUUUGAUGUAUGAAAGUGUUCUUUGUGAAACAUAUGUGAAAGUAUGCUCCCAGCAAUAAAAAUCUGUAAAAUCAAA